UAAUGCUUAGGGAAACAACAAAAAAAAUGAAGCAUUGUGCUAGCAAUCAUAGAAAUGACACAAAAUUUGAAGAAGUCUGAUGCUUAUGAAAACAAAGAAUGAAUCAAUUUACUUCUCAACUAUAGAAGUCAACCACCAAGUUAUGUCACAUAAGCUUGAAUUUAGGAAAUCAAUCUGAAUUAGUGAAUAAUGACAAAUCAUAUUUAGCUGAGACAAUAAAGGGACAUUCACAUGCAAUGACAAUAUAAGUAAGAAACACUUAAAAUGCAUUUUAUUUUCACAAUGGGUGGAGAAUUGCCAAGCUUGGGAAGAAUUGUAUCAUUUGAAUCGGUUAGCAUCGAAGUUGAAAAUCUUUUGUUUUCAUAAUAAGCUAAUCUCCUUUAGUAUUUUGUACCAUCACCUAUAUACUUAUUCAAAUUCCUGCAUAUUAAAAGUAUAGUAACAUUAAAAUCUUGAACUUUUUCGAAUAGUAGAAGCUAAAUACUUUAAUACUUCAUUAUGAAAUAACAUAUAAUUCCUUCAAAGAAGAGAUUUGGUGCAAGUAUUCAAAAAAAUCCAUUUAGGAAGCAUAAUAAACGUUACUUCAAAAGAGAAAGUGGAAAUGAAAAUUAGAGGUUCUACUGAUAUGUUCCAAAAUAUAUUAAAAAAAUUGAAUUCCAUUGCAACCAAACAAAUAUACAGAAAAUACACAAACUACAUCAAUAGAUGACACCUCUUUGCAACUUCUCAAGAACGAUUAAAAUGACGCAAUAAAUGCAAUCAUCUUGAAAAAUCCCAAUCAAAUAAUAAUAAUAGAAUGACUCAACAACAUAAUAAGUAACAGAAAGAUGAAUAAAUUUUCUCAAUUAACAAAAUCAAACUUUUGUAUCUAGUAUUUUUGGUGAAUCUUGCUUUGAGGAUAAAGUUGUAACUAUAUGAUUUCGCUCUCGUUGCUACCAUGCUAAAAGCUAAGAAAUUUUAAGAAGAAAUUUAAAAAAGGGAAGAAUUUUAGUAUCUUGAAAGAAAAAAAUCGUCUUUGAAGAGCUGCAGAAGAGAUAUAAGUUUCUAUUUCGCGUAAGUUUGCCCAUUUGAAUUUACUGUCAAAUGGACAUAUAACUGUAAAACUACUUUGCAGAGAACUACUUGCUCUUUCUAUCUCCAUUACUUGAACACUGUAAUGGUGGCCAUAUUGUCUCAUUUUCUUUCUUAUAUCAUAUUGCUGAACACAUAUAUAUUAUGUCAAAGAUAACCAAACAACAAAGAAGCUAACUUCCAGUUAAGUGACGAAUUAGUAUCGAAUAUCAACUAUGUAUAUAAAUUAUAAUAAAAUAUAAGAGACGAACGCGAUGGACAAAGUAUAAUAAUUAGCAUAGCAAAAAAAAUGAAACCAUUAUACAGCUAUUAGCGAAAUCAUAACCUGUUUCGAGCUAGCAAGUUUAAAGCUAACAUCAACCCUUAACAUGCACGGGCAGAGAUGGAAAAAUGUUCAGAGUUGGUGGUCCUAUUCCAGAUUUCUUUGUAACUUCUCAAGAACGAAAGAUUUCAUAUUUCUGACAGGUCGGCUAUUUUAGCUCUUUGGAAAAAAACUGCAUCAAAAAGAUGGGAAAAUAAAUAUAUAUCCCCACUGCUACAUCCAUCAACUUAAAUAAACAACCUCAUUUCGAUUACUUUUUUUUUAUAUAACAAUCUAAUAUCCGAAAAGACAAUCGUACACUGUGUCUAUAACAGUUUUGCCAAUUAAUCUUUGGUGAUUCUAGCAUUCUAGAGGACCUUAUGUUGUUUCAUCUCAGCUCAUCAAGUUUAGCACUUGCGAAAUUUAACUUGAACUCCAAAGGUAUACCUGCUGUUUUUGUUUGAUUCCAACAAUUUAAUUUAUAAUUUCGCUGUUCUAAUCUCAGCUUUGAGAUUUAUGAUAGCAUACAUGUGCUGAUACAUCAGAUUUCUUGUUAUAGUCCACCAAAUUCAAUUUCAAGCAAGAAUUUCGACUCUCCUAGAUUUUUUAUCUUGAAAUUUUGGUGUAUUACCUCUUAGCUUCUUCAACUAUUCUGUUAUUGUUCGUGUGGUCAAUAAGUUAUUGACAUAUAAGGAUCACAAGUUCACAACUAUAUUAUUGCCAUGCCUAGUAAACAAAAAGCAGUAUAAGAAAUAAAUCUCUCAAAAAAUAUAAGUGACAUUACUAUAUUAUUUCCAUAACUUAGAUGAACAUUUAAUUAUAUAAAUUCCAAGAGUAUAAAUUUGUUUUUUCAUUACCAAAGGAUUAAUUAAACUGGUAUAUUAAAAUUGAGCAAAAAAGAAACUUUCAUUUGAAAUUCACAUCAUAAAGCAGUAUAAUAAAAAGUGUCUACGAAAAUAAAGAAUAUAUGUCACUAUAGAAUAACAACAACUAAGAAAAUUCACCCACAAAAUAGAAAAUUGUUAAGAAAUCUCAAACAAAAAAUAAAAGAAGAAGAAAAAGAGAUAAGACAGAGAAAGAAAGAAGAUGAUUUAAGCAAAAAACCGAGAGAAAAUCAUACCUGAAAUGGUAUUCUUCAAAUUCUGAAGAAGAAGAACUCAAAGGUCGAAGUUAUGAUGGAACAGAGGAGAGAUGUUUCUAGACACUCGUUUGUGUCGAAAUAACGAGCAUUGAUAAAAUUAGAAGUAGAGAAAAAAUAAAAUGACAAGAUAAAAUGAUAAUUUUGCUAUUAAUCGACCAAUUUUUCUUUUCUAUAUAAUAGAUUAGAAAUAUAUAGAUAGAAAAAUGAUGGAAUUGGAGAAUUUUAAAAAG
rnacentral:lncRNA from 1 species